rnacentral:rRNA from 1 species
AGAGUUUGAUCCUGGCUCAGAACGAACGCUGGCGGCGUGGAUAAGACAUGCAAGUCGAACGAGAGAAUUGCUAGCUUGCUAAUAAUUCUCUAGUGGCGCACGGGUGAGUAACACGUGAGUAACCUGCCCCCGAGAGCGGGAUAGCCCUGGGAAACUGGGAUUAAUACCGCAUAGUAUCGAAAGAUUAAAGCAGCAAUGCGCUUGGGGAUGGGCUCGCGGCCUAUUAGUUAGUUGGUGAGGUAACGGCUCACCAAGGCGAUGACGGGUAGCCGGUCUGAGAGGAUGUCCGGCCACACUGGAACCGAGACACGGUCCAGACACCUACGGGUGGCAGCAGUCGAGAAUCAUUCACAAUGGGGGAAACCCUGAUGGUGCGACGCCGCGUGGGGGAAUGAAGGUCUUCGGAUUGUAAACCCCUGUCAUGUGGGAGCAAAUUAAAAAGAUAGUACCACAAGAGGAAGAGACGGCUAACUCUGUGCCAGCAGCCGCGGUAAUACAGAGGUCUCAAGCGUUGUUCGGAAUCACUGGGCGUAAAGCGUGCGUAGGCUGUUUCGUAAGUCGUGUGUGAAAGGCGCGGGCUCAACCCGCGGACGGCACAUGAUACUGCGAGACUAGAGUAAUGGAGGGGGAACCGGAAUUCUCGGUGUAGCAGUGAAAUGCGUAGAUAUCGAGAGGAACACUCGUGGCGAAGGCGGGUUCCUGGACAUUAACUGACGCUGAGGCACGAAGGCCAGGGGAGCGAAAGGGAUUAGAUACCCCUGUAGUCCUGGCAGUAAACGGUGCACGCUUGGUGUGCGGGGAAUCGACCCCCUGCGUGCCGGAGCUAACGCGUUAAGCGAGCCGCCUGGGGAGUACGGUCGCAAGAUUAAAACUCAAAGAAAUUGACGGGGACCCGCACAAGCGGUGGAGUAUGUGGCUUAAUUCGAUGCAACGCAAAGAACCUUACCUGGGCUUGACAUGUAAUGAACAACAUGUGAAAGCAUGCGACUCUUCGGAGGCGUUACACAGGUGCUGCAUGGCCGUCGUCAGCUCGUGUCGUGAGAUGUUUGGUUAAGUCCAGCAACGAGCGCAACCCCUGUUGCCAGUUACCAGCACGUGAAGGUGGGGACUCUGGCGAGACUGCCCAGAUCAACUGGGAGGAAGGUGGGGACGACGUCAGGUCAGUAUGGCCCUUAUGCCCAGGGCUGCACACGUACUACAAUGCCCAGUACAGAGGGGGCCGAAGCCGCGAGGCGGAGGAAAUCCUAAAAACUGGGCCCAGUUCGGACUGUAGGCUGCAACCCGCCUACACGAAGCCGGAAUCGCUAGUAAUGGCGCAUCAGCUACGGCGCCGUGAAUACGUUCCCGGGUCUUGUACACACCGCCCGUCA